rnacentral:rRNA from 1 species
UGGUGCGGGGAGGCAGCAGUUGGGAAUUCUUCCACAAAUGACCGCAAGUUUGAUGGAGCCACCGCCGCCUGAAUGAAGAAGGCCUUUCGGGUCGUAAAAUUCUGUUGUUGGAGAAGAAUGGUCGGCAGAGUAACUGUUGUCGGCGUGACGGUAUCCAACCAGAAAGCCACGGCUAACUACGUGCCAGCAGCCGCGGUAAUACGUAGGUGGCAAGCGUUAUCCGGAUUUAUUGGGCGUAAAGCGAGCGCAGGCGGUUUUUUAAGUCUGAUGUGAAAGCCCUCGGCUUAACCGAGGAAGCGCAUCGGAAACUGGGAAACUUGAGUGCAGAAGAGGACAGUGGAACUCCAUGUGUAGCGGUGAAAUGCGUAGAUAUAUGGAAGAACACCAGUGGCGAAGGCGGCUGUCUGGUCUGUAACUGACGCUGAGGCUCGAAAGCAUGGGUAGCGAACAGGAUUAGAUACCCUGGUAGUCCAUGCCGUAAACGAUGAAUGCUAGGUGUUGGAGGGUUUCCGCCCUUCAGUGCCGCAGCUAACGCAUUAAGCAUUCCGCCUGGGGAGUACGACCGCAAGGUUGAAACUCAAAGGAAUUGACGGGGGCCCGCACAAGCGGUGGAGCAUGUGGUUUAAUUCGAAGCAACGCGAAGAACCUUACCAGGUCUUGACAUCUUUUGAUCACCUGAGAGAUCAGGUUUCCCCUUCGGGGGCAAAAUGACAGGUGGUGCAUGGUUGUCGUCAGCUCGUGUCGUGAGAUGUUGGGUUAAGUCCCGCAACGAGCGCAACCCUUAUGACUAGUUGCCAGCAUUUAGUUGGGCACUCUAGUAAGACUGCCGGUGACAAACCGGAGGAAGGUGGGGAUGACGUCAAAUCAUCAUGCCCCUUAUGACCUGGGCUACACACGUGCUACAAUGGAUGGUACAACGAGUUGCGAGACCGCGAGGUCAAGCUAAUCUCUUAAAGCCAUUCUCAGUUCGGACUGUAGGCUGCAACUCGCCUACACGAAGUCGGAAUCGCUAGUAAUCGCGGAUCAGCACGCCGCGGUGAAUACGUUCCCGGGCCUUGUACACACCGCCCGUCACACCAUGAGAGUUUGUAACACCCGAAGCCGGUGGCGUAACCCUUUAGGGAGCGAGCCGUCUAAGUGACAACAUUGU